GAAACAUAUAUUAAUGAAAAUAUAACUUUAAUUUAUUUGCGCCAUCUAUCGAUGAAACUGUGAAAAUAAACUGAAAUGUAUUAUAAACUCAUGUGCUCAUCUAUGUAUUACAUUAUUUAAAUUUCCCGCGCACGCGCAAAUCAACGACAUAUUCGUUCAAUCGAAUUUGAUGCAGUAUCAACACGAUAUAACAUUACUUCACUGAGAGAAGAAGCAAGUCUACGUUUCGCGAUUUUCUUCGAGGGCGUUUUCAUCUAGAAUUUCUCAUCGAGAUAUUUAUUUUGAAACUACUUUUAGGAAUUUACUGAAUUUUCAGUACAGGGAAGAAAAUAAAUUUAUUUAAUUAUUAUAUUAUUAUUUUAUAUUAUUUAAUUAAAGAUAUCCAUUUUUUCUUCAAUUUCUUAUGUUUUUUUUUCGAGUAUUUAAAAAAAAUUUAUAAUUUACAUAUUUUCAUUGUUUUAGAUAAAACGAAGAACAAUAUAAAUAUAUUUAACGUGAAUAAUUACAAUAAAUGCUUAUAUAAUGCAUAUUUCAAAUUUGCAUUUUCCGUUUUUGUUUCCGAUUAAAUUUUCUUUAAUUUAUCAUCUCUUGAUUUUAAGAGACAAAUAAUUUGAGGUAAGGUAUUUAUAUAAGGUAAUGAUAAUAAAAAUAUAUUCUUAAUAUCGUCAAUUUGAGAUCAAGCACAAUUUGUUUAUUCUUUUUUUUAUUUUUCAGUUACUAAACAUUUUUCGUUUGACGAAAAAAAAAUAAAAGAAAUAAUUAAUUAUGUGAAAUUUUUAAAAAUUAAAAUUUGAAAUAAAAAUUAUACGAAAUAUUUUUUCAUAACGACAUUCAUAACAUAUUUUUGUCUCUAGUUUAUAACAAACAAUUAUUGAUUAUUGAUACAUUUGUUCUCACAAACAAUAACGAAGAAGUAUCUUAAAUACAUAACCAAACACUAGUAGAAUCGUAUUGGUUAGUUCAACAAGAAUAAUGGAAACUGGAUCGUCCCAGAUCAACGACAUUAAGAAGGACGAACGAUGUUUCGAAAGGACUGUUUAAUCACCUCACGAAAUUUCAAGGAUAAUAAUUCGAAGCACAUGCCUUCCGCUAAUAAUGGGGUUCGGUGUGACAAAUCUUCAACGGUAUAAACAUAAGAAUUAUGAACAUAAAAAUUACAUGAAAUUGUUCAUUUGGUUAUUAAUCGUUAUUUACAUCGUUUGUUAAACAACGACCUUUGGUACUUGCGAUACAAUGAUUAGAAAAAUUUUACGCAUACGUUACUACGAUUAAGGACACCUGUGGCCGUGAUGUCGGCCAUCUAUCGGUUCCUUUGCUAUUCGAUAAAUGAAUAAACGAAUAAAAUAUCAAGACGUUUAAGCGGUCGAUAAAAACGAAUACAAACAUUAUUGCUUUCAAGAUUCCGUUGUUCUUCAUUUACACAUCAAGCAAAGAAACGUG